UGCGCGGUGCCGCAAGGCAUAACAGGGAAACAGGUUCAAAUCCUGUACUGUCCCAGCAACCGUGAUACUGACGAACGGGCGCACAGCCACUAUUCCGCAGGAAUGGGAAGGAGCCCUAUUAGGAAGAAGUUAAGUCGGUAGACCUACCGCAGGCA
rnacentral:ncRNA from 1 species